CUAAACAAAAAUGGCACAUUUCAUCAAUCAAGUUAUUGACGUCAUUUCAAAACCACCUGAACGAAGAACGGAUACGGAAAUAGAGGCCAUUAUACCAUGGCUACGCAGGCGCACGCCUUUGUUUCAAAAUCAGCAAGAUGCCGUUCUCAAAGACAUUACCAGGAACUGUGAAUAUCAGAUGGCUAGUCAUGAUGAUGUUAUUCUAUGUCAAGGUGAACGAGGAGAAUGUAUGUAUGUCAUAUUAAGAGGUGGCGUCUCUGUUUAUAUUGAUGCCACCAUGACUGGUGAAGAUGAAGGGUAUCCAUCGCCCGUACCACGUUCCCCGAGUAAAGAUGGCUCUUCCCCGGAAGUCAGACUAGGAAGGGAUCUUGAUAGAAGAGUGUUCGGGAAAUUUAUUAUAA